UAUCCCACAAUUCCCUUCUCGCCGCGCGUUACCCCGACCGCUGAUUAAUUCCUUCUGUCAGUAGCCGCCAAGUGAUUGAUUUCGGUUGUGGGUGUGGCCGGAGGAACCGUGGAUCUUGAGCGGGUUGUUUCGAGAUCACGCCCCCCUUGAUCUGUCCUUGGUAGAUCCCCGCUUUUCCGUUCAGGGCGCAGUGGCUUCGCUUGUGUGGAUCCCUCAGUGUUGUACUACUGUUGCUAUACAUAGCCUAGUUCUUCAGACAACGAAGCUGGGAACAAGGAUAGAUGCACCCCUCCAUCUGCGCCAGAGUUUUACGAUCUGUGUCCCUCGAGUGCAACAGCCAUAGCCUCCAUUUGGUCAUGUUGUAAUGAACUUACAUGGCCCUUGAUUUGCAUUACUCAUCGCAGAUUGCACCUGCGAUGGGUCGAUCUUAGAACAUCAUUUCCUGCAGUACUGUAGUUCGUCGUCCCAUGUAUCUUAUGUCGGUCGAUCUUAGAACAUCAUUUCCUACAGUACUGCAGGUCAUCGUUCCAUGUAUCUUAUGUCACUCACUGGGCAUGCCUCUUUUAUGAGGUCCCCACAUAAUAACCUUUGGACUGGAUUCAUGAGUUAACAUGAUGAAUCGUUUAAACAGUGUAUCUAUCUACUAGCAUGAAUUAUAAUUUUCGCUUCUUCAAUUAUCUCUGAA